rnacentral:rRNA from 1 species
GACGAACGCUGGCGGCGUGCUUAACACAUGCAAGUCGAACGGAAAGGCCCUGCUUUUGUGGGGUGCUCGAGUGGCGAACGGGUGAGUAACACGUGAGUAACCUGCCCUUGACUUUGGGAUAACUUCAGGAAACUGGGGCUAAUACCGGAUAGGAGCUCCUGCUGCAUGGUGGGGGUUGGAAAGUUUCGGCGGUUGGGGAGGGACUCGCGGCUUAUCAGCUUGUUGGUGGGGUAGUGGCUUACCAAGGCUUUGACGGGUAGCCGGCCUGAGAGGGUGACCGGCCACAUUGGGACUGAGAUACGGCACAGACUCCUACGGGAGGCAGCAGUGGGGAAUAUUGCACAAUGGGCGGAAGCCUGAUGCAGCAACGCCGCGUGCGGGAUGACGGCCUGCGGGUUGUAAACCGCUUUCGCCUGUGACGAAGCGUGAGUGACGGUAAUGGGUAAAGAAGCACCGGCUAACUACGUG